GUGGAUGGAGGACGGCGCGCAGACGGAGGAUGAGGGAGGAUGGGCGCCGGACGGAGAAGGGGAGGACAGGGCGCCGGACAGAGGAGGGAGGACGGGUUGCACGGACGGAGGAGGGAGGACGAGGCGCCGGACCGAGGAGAGGACUCAGAUCGCGGACGAUGACGAAUGGCGGCGCGGAUGGAGACAGAGGAUGACGGAGAGGAGGUGGCGAUGGGGAUGAAGACAACCGGCGGCGACGGGGACGGAAGCGGCAGUGUGAUGCCCGCGGAGCCGGUGACGGAAGGAUUAUUCUUAGUUGCCGUUUUCUUUUCGUUUAGUUUAUUCAUGUGGUUCAUUCCAUGUAUGUGGUUCAUUAUUUCAAUCACAAGAUUGUAAGAUUUGUUGAUUAGUAGUUAAUAUAGUUAUCAGAUUAAUGGUAUUUAUGUCCUCUGAUGUGCUUAUUGGCAUUUACUAAAUAUGCUGUACAAAAUGCAUUAUUUAUCG
rnacentral:lncRNA from 1 species